rnacentral:rRNA from 1 species
UAGGGAAUCUUCCGCAAUGGACGAAAGUCUGACGGAGCGACGCCGCGUGAGCGAAGAAGGUCUUCGGAUCGUAAAGCUCUGUUGUUAGGGAAGAAGAAGUGCCGUUCGAACAGGGCGGCACGGUGACGGUACCUAACGAGAAAGCCCCGGCUAACUACGUGCCAGCAGCCGUGGUAAUACGUAGGGGGCGAGCGUUGUCCGGAAUUAUUGGGCGUAAAGCGCGCGCAGGCGGUCCCUUAAGUCUGGUGUGAAAGCCCACGGCUUAACCGUGGAGGGUCACUGGAAACUUGGGGACUUGGGUGCAGAAGAGGAGAGCGGAAUUCCGCGUGUAGCGGUGAAAUGCGUAGAGAUGUGGAGGAACACCAGUGGCAAAGGCGGCUCUCAGGUCUAUAACUGACGCUGAGGCGCGAAAGCGUGGGGAGCAAACAGG